rnacentral:rRNA from 1 species
AUUGAACGCUGGCGGCAGGCCUAACACAUGCAAGUCGAGCGGAGCGGCGGACGGGUGAGUAAUGCCUAGGAAUCUGCCUGGUAGUGGGGGAUAACGUCCGGAAACGGGCGCUAAUACCGCAUACUAUCAGAUGAGCCUAGGUCGGAUUAGCUAGUUGGUGGGGUAAAGGCCUACCAAGGCGACGAUCCGUAACUGGUCUGAGAGGAUGAUCAGUCAGACUGGAACUGAGACACGGAAGAGACUCCGACGUGAGGCAGCAGUGGGGAGUAUUGGACAAUGGGGGAAAACGUGAACCAGCCAAGCCGCUGGUGUUAAGAAGGUCUUCGGAUUGUGAAGCACUUUGAGUGGGGAGGCGUUACCGGCAGAGGAAGAGCCGGCUAACUGCGUGCCAGCAGCCGCGGUAAUAC